GCGAUAAUAGUCUAGUGGUUAGGACGAGUCGUUGUGGCCGACUAAACCCCUGUUCGAUUCAGGGUUAUCGCA